CGAGUCUCCAGAGUCCAUGCACUCCAAGGUUGAAGAGGCUGUAGCGGUGCUUCAGGCUCAUCAAGCCAAGGAACUGUCGGCAAAGUGAGGGAGCUUUGUAAGGCGGGCAUGCUCACUGAAGGUCUGUGAGGGUUGUUCCAGAGAACGAGGAAAAGAAAACAGCACUUCAGAGUCAUGCUAUUUAAUGCAUGGUUUGCACACUUCAAAUGUCCUUUUGCUCUCCACAGUGUUAAGUUUGUUCUGGCUUUGUUUAUU